rnacentral:lncRNA from 1 species
GUAUACUUUAAAUCAUCCCUAGAUUACUUAUAAUAUCUAAUGAAGUGUAAAUACUGUGCAAAUAGUUGUUAUACUGUGUUUAGAAAAUAAUGACAAGAAAAAAUGUUUGUACAUGUUCAAUGCAGACAUAACUACCUUUUUUAUUUUUAAAAUACAUUUGAUCUGUAGUUGGUUGAAUCCACUGAUAGAGAACUCAUAGAUAAGAAGGACCAACUGUAUAUGCAAGACAAACAUACUGGAUCAGUGUCUUAAAGAACAAAGGCAAUUCAAUAUUAUCUCUGGAGUGCUAAAAGAUAUUUACAGUUGUCAAGUUUUAAGUGAAAAAUUUUUACUCUUCAGAGUCAUGAUGAACAGUGAGGUUUUUAAACGGCAUAAAUGUUACAGGAAUCAUCUAAUUAUGGAAGUUAAUCCAUUGUUGUACAAAGACUUGGAAAAAUGUGAAAGUGAAAAAACAAAUGUGACUUACUUCCCAAAACACUUUACAAAAAAAUAAUUGAAAUAAUGAGUGAGUAUGUGCAAAAUGAAGUGGUAAAAUAAACACCAUAUAUUAUUCCACUAAUAUGGAUUCUACACUGGAUGUGACACACUGAACACUUGGUAAUGGUGCAAAAUUGUUACCAAAAAAUUAUGAGUCAUUUAAAAUUUUUUCCAAAUAAAAAUAAUGUGUUAAUUUCUUCAACCAGUGAAAUAUGUUCUGGGCAAUUGUAAACUGCCAUGGGAAAACAUUUGCCAUUGGUUAUGUGAUAACAUAGCAGUUAUGAGAGAUGAGGACUAUGUGAACUCUUUAAAAACAUGAAUAUAUUAACAUGUGUUGCUUCUUUCCUUCAUUUCAUCAGAUUAAAAAUUGCUUCUCAGGAUGAGAAGUCAUUAAUUACUUUGUUAUUUUGCAACGAUUUUUUUAAUAGGCUUUAACUUUUAGAGCAGCUUUAGGCUCACAGCAAAAUUGAACUGAAGAUACAUAUUUCCCACAUCCCCGCUCCCCUACACCUGCACAGCCUCCCCCGUUAUCAACAUUCCCCACCAGAGUGGCACAUUUGUUACAAUUGAUGAAUCUGCAUUAAGAAGUCAUUAUCACCCAGAGUCCAUAGUUUUUACAGGGUUCAUUCUUCGUACUGUACUGUCUAUCGGUUUGGAUAAACUUACAACAGGUACCCACCAUUAUACUGUCAUACAGAAUAGUUUCAGUGCCCUAAGAAUCCUCUGUGCUCUGCCUAUUCAUCCCCUCCUCUCCUCAAUCUUUUGCAACCACUGACUGUUAUUUUUACUGUCUCCAAAGUUUUUCUUUUUCCAGAGUAUCAUAUAAUUGGAAUCAUAUAGUAUGUAACAUUUUCAGAUUGUCUUCUUUCACUUAGUAAUACGCAUUUAAGAUUACUUCAUGUCUUUUCAUAUCUUGAUAGCUCAUUUCUCUUUGUCACUGAAUAAUAUUCAGUUGUCUACAUGUACCACAGUUUAUCCAUUCACCUACUGAAGAACAUCUUGGUUGCUUCCAAAUUUUGGCAUUUAUUAAUAAAGUUGCUGUAGACAUUCACGUUCAGGUUUUUGUGUGGACCUAAGUUUUCAACUCCCUUGGGUAAAUAUCAAAAAGUGUGAUCACUAGAUUAUACAGUUAGUGUAUUGUUUAGUUUUGUAAGAAACUGACAAACUGACCUCUGUAGUGUCUGUACCAGUCUUCAUUCUGUAAGCAAUGAAUGAGAGUUCCAGUUGUUCUACUUCCUUGUCAGCAUUUGGUAUUGUCAAUGUUCUAGAUUUUGGCCAUUAUAAUAGGUAGGUAGUGGUAUUUCAUUGUUGUUUUAAUUUGCAUUUCCCUGAUGACAUAUGAUAUGAAGCAGAUUUUCAUGUUUAUUUGCUGUGUAUAUUUGGUUAGGUGUCUAUUAAGGUCUUUGAUCCAUUUUUUAAUGAAGAUGUUCAUUUUCUUAUUCUUGAGUUUUAAAAGUUCUUUGUAUAUUUUGGAUAUCAGUUUUUAAUCAGAUACAUCUUUACAAAUAAUUUCUCCCAGUCUGGGGCUUGUG